GGUGUGCAAAACAUCUUAUUCUUUAUUGUGUUCGUAUUCGUAUCAAAACUGCAAAUAUUUCAAUAAAUACAUCAAGAUAUGAUAAAUACCGAUUAAAAUGUUUUAAUGAAGGAUUUUUGGAGAUAUUUGGAUUACUCUACUCAUUCAGGACAAUAUAAUCUUUUUGUGGAGAUGACGAAGGGCACACUUUUAAAUGCAAAUAAAAUGGAUACUAAGUUUACUCAAAGAUGACUGCCUUUAUAUACUAGAUAAUAUUCUAAUACUUAAAAAUACUUUCCACAAAUUUAUUAUGAUUUUAUCAAUCAAUUAGGAGAAAUAUCAUAAGAGUUUUUAAUGGAGGAAUUCUGAAGAUUACUAUAUUCCUAUUUGGGUUACUCUAUUUACAUGUUAUAAAGAUGACCAAGAAUACACAAUGCAAACGCAAAAUAAAAGAGGUUACUAAGUUCACUUACAGAUGAUUGUUUAGAUACUCUAAAUUAUAUUCUAAUACUUCAAGAUAAUUUACUCAAGUUUAUUAUGAAUUUGAUGAUAAAUCAGGAGAAAUAUC